AGUGAACGCUGGCGGUAGGCCUAACACAUGCAAGUCGAACGGCAGCACAGUAAGAGCUUGCUCUUACGGGUGGCGCGUGGCGGACGGGUGAGGAAUACAUCGGAAUCUACUUUUUCGUGGGGGCUAACGUAGGGAAACUUACGCUAAUACCGCAUACGACCUACGGGUGAAAGCAGGGGAUCUUCGGACCUUGCGCGAGUGAAUGAGCCGAUGUCGGAUUAGCUCGUUGGCGGGGCAAAGGCCCACCAAGGCGACGAUCCGUAGCUGGUCUGAGAGGAUGAUCAGCCACACUGGAACUGAGACACGGUCCAGACUCCUACGGGAGGCAGCAGUGGGGAAUAUUGGACAAUGGGCGCAAGCCUGAUCCAGCCAUACCGCGUGGGUGAAGAAGGCCUUCGGGUUGUAAAGCCCUUUUGUUGUGAAAGAAAAACAGCAGGUUAAUACCCCGCUGUUCUGACGGUACCCAAAGAAUAAGCACCGGCUAACUUCGUG
rnacentral:rRNA from 1 species